CUAGUUGGUAGGGUAAAGGCCUACCAAGGCAUAGAUCGGUAGCCGGCCUGAGAGGGCACACGGCCACACUGGCACUGAAACACGGGCCAGACUCCUACGGGAGGCAGCAGUGGGGAAUCUUGCACAAUGGGGGCAACCCUGAUGCAGCGACGCCGCGUGAGCGAUGAAGCCCUUCGGGGUGUAAAGCUCUUUCGGCAGGGAAGAUAAUGACGGUACCUGCAGAAGCAGCUGCGGCUAACUACGUGCCAGCAGCCGCGGUAAUACGUAGGCAGCGAGCGUUGUUCGGAGUUACUGGGCGUAAAGGGUGUGUAGGCGGUUCUCUAAGUUUGGUGUGAAAUCUCCCGGCUCAACCGGGAGGGUGCGCCGAAUACUGAGGGACUAGAGUACGGGAGAGGAAAGUGGAAUUCCUGGUGUAGCGGUGAAAUGCGUAGAUAUCAGGAGGAACACCGGUGGUGUAGACGGCUUUCUGGACCGUAACUGACGCUGAGACACGAAAGCGUGGGUAGCAAACAGGAUUAGAUACCCUGGUAGUCCACGCCCUAAACGAUGCAUAUUUGGUGUGGGUCAUUCAGUUGAUCCGUGCCGGAGCUAACGCGUUAAAUAUGCCGCCUGGGGAGUACAGUCGCAAGGCUGAAACUCAAAGGAAUUGACG
rnacentral:rRNA from 1 species